GUAAAGGCCCUUUUCAGGGCCACCUACAAUUUGAUUUACAUUUUUU
rfam:Schistosoma curassoni strain Dakar, Senegal genome assembly, scaffold: SCTD_contig0002648